UCGAAAUCGCCAAGCUAUUCAUGUUGAAUAAAUUAGUCUGUUAAUUUGAACUAAGCAAGCUGCUAAAUCGUUCAGAUUACAUCUUGCCUAGGCUACUUUAGACUAUCUUAAAUAAAAUGUAGGCCUAUCAUGGGCUAUAGGCUACCUGCAUCUAUCUAAGCAAACCAUGGCAAAGUUGAAUUACAAUCAUAAACCCAUAUUUUAGUCUGUAGCCUAUGCCUAUUGAAAAGUAAAUCUCGCAAAUGGGCCAUUUAUAACUGUUUGUAGUCUUAACAUCUGGUUUGUGGUUUAUGGCCAAUAUAUCAUGGCCAUUACCACAACGUAAAGACUGUAUCCAGGCCUUAGCCGUGUUAUAUUGGCCAUUUGCCAUACACCCUUGUGCCUUACUGCUUAAACAUAGCAGUCAAUCGACUUAAAUCGACAUCCAUUGAUGGAACAUUAUCUGGCGAGUUUAAUAAAGAUCAAUUAUAAUUUAUCUUGCAACAUAUUCAAAUUCGUUUGCAAUAAUUACAAUUUUGAUGAAAACCUAAUUUUGCUUUUAACGUCGUUACAAGCUACGUCGAUAUUCCUUCUUAAUUGGCUCGAUAACGUUCUGGAAAAUGGGUUUAUUUUAUAAAUGUGACAACUCCGCUGUUGCUGUGAAAAAAAGGGGCUCGUUUUCAGGCCGUUUGGGCAGGUUUUAAAGGGGAAUGGAAACACUUUAGGAAGUAAAUCGAAGCAAAGAGAUGUAUUCAAUCCACUAAUACUAAACAUGUGCAUUUAACAUAAAAACAUCUCUAUAUUUAGUAUUUUGAUCAUCGACAAGGUUUAGUUGAGCUACGGUCAGUGCCAUUCUAAAUUGCCAAAGUAACGACUGACGCCAGUGCGUCACUGGCAGCAAUCAUCAAAUUGUGAAGAAAGAAAAAAACGUUUUCACGCAGAGUGAAUCAAAGACAGUGAGGUUAGGUGCGGACAACGACGAUGGCAACAACAAGUAGUAAUUCAAACAUGAAUUGUAUAGCGCCAGGCUGUAUGAAUUGGCUCCAAAAAAAAAUCCAUCGGGUGAGCUACCAUCGGUUGCCCAACGACCCACAACUUUUGAAGAAGUGGCUCCAUGUCCUGAAGUGGAAGGACGUGUCAGCUCGUGCUAGCAGGAUCUGCAGACAGCACCUCACGGAGGCAGACUUCGCGAUGAAGGGAACUUUCGAUGCAGCAACCGGGAGUUUCCGAAUGGAAAGGAGUCAUAGGCCUCCAUUUUAUAUUUCGAGGGUUAUGGUGUAAGGGUUACCGACCGACCACCAUCAACAUCGCUGGCUUCGGAGUCGAGCAAAACCCAGACUGAACGGAGGAGGCGACGGGAGUCAAUGCAAUGGAGCCUGAUGUAACGUUAACCGAUCAUGACUGUUGUUGACUAGGCUAACGUUAGACACUGGGACAACUCUGUUGCAACUCCAGUUGAAGGAUGACAUCUUCAUCCCUGAAAAGGUUUUCAUCCUGGAGGAGACUGUGCAGGAGGCAGAGGAGGAAAGAACGGUUAGUACAGCAUGCCAAACUGACCCCUGGGUGCCAGAGUGUUCCUGUGCUGUGGAGGAGAAGAGGUCCACCGGGAACAUCACUAAAGAGCUCGGGGCCCAGCUAGAUUGCGCUCACGACCGUCAGUAUACAACCGAGUCCUGCCCCUAUAUGCCACAGAUGGAGCUGACGGAGAGUGAGAUCAGUGAAGACCACAACUCGCUGUAUGAACCUGAGAGCUCAGAAUCACAAUCAUCACAGUGCGAGCCAAGAUAUACUAUCGAUCACUUUGGGGGAGCGGGCUGGUGUUACGAAAAUAGAGAAGGAGCAGGCCAUUCAACAGAGAAUUCAAAGAUACACCGAUUCAUAAAGGGAGUGGAAUUGUUUUUCCACUGACCUUUUUACCCGUUUCAACGGAUGUGCUACCUUGUCCCGGUCAUGCUGUUUCGACUCCCUCUCAAGCUAUGAAUGCUCAGCUAUGAAAAGCCAACUGACAUUUGCUCCUGAGGUGUUGAACUCUUUCACCCUCUAUAACCACUGUGGUUAUUAUUUUGAUGUAAAAAGGGCUUUUGUAAAAUACAUUUGAUUAAUUGUUUGCUGUGCUGGAUGCUGUGUAUUCACUAACUGUCUGAGUGAUGGGACAUUUUUAUAGUAUCUGUAACAUAUUUUGGUUUGUAUUUAAUCUGCAUCUUAACUUCUUAAAGUGGCAAUCAGCAGUAGAAACAAUAACAAAGUCUCUCCCUGCUCCUCUUUCGGUAAAAAGCUGAGGGAUGGGGCUGGAGAAAUGUAACCACUCUCAAAUUCAUAGACAGAGCUAUUGUAAUCCUGUUUCUAUGAUAUGUUUCCAAUACCAUGUACCCAGUUUGCUUUGUAUAAAGGCGUCUGCUAAAUGGCAUAUCAUUUAUUAUUAAAGUCUACUUUGACUCUGCCAAUUA